CUCUUCUCCUCUGCCUGGAGCCAGUUGCCAAGGCACGGAGAUGACCCAGGGACGCAUGGCCCUUCCCACCUGUGACUGGGCGGUGAGGCUGCAAGGUCCCUGGGCAGCUCCUGCUCUCACUGCCUCCCCGAGGUGCCCCUCAGAGACCCUGUGAGUGAGAAUGCUCAGCCCACAGAAGUGCCCCUGGCCACUUGCCCUGCUCCAUCCACCCCAAGGAUGCCCCUGACUCCAGGAGGAUGAACCCCUGAGCUAGACACAUCUGUCCAUCCAGCCCCAUUUCCCGGGAUGCGCAUAGAGUCCAGCAUGUGGGGGAAGUUAUUUACUCAGAGGCAAAGGCUGCAGCCCCAUCUCAGGGCCCUGGGGCCCCCUGUGGCCUGUCUGUGAGGGGUCUCUGGUCAGGCACCAGCUGUCUGCAGAGCCACCUUCUCCUCCAUGCCUCUUCUACACCGGGCUUUGCAAACAUUGGUAAGCAUCGGGAUCACUCGGGGGCUUGUGACAGCCCCCCGCCCCCCACAGCCCUGAGUCAGCAGGUCUCGAGGGAGGUCAGAGCCAGCUCCCAGGGGAGGCAGACGCUGCAGGUCUGGACUAGACACAGGGAAGUGCUGGAUGACACAAGUCCCAUGGCUGCUGCCCAUCUCCUCCCCCCUCGGGGUGGGGGAUGUGCCGCAGUCUCUCUCAUCCCGUCUGGGAGUUCCAGUUAUCCUCCGGUCCUCCCCACUCUCAAGCCCAGAUCCUUUUACCCACCCUGCUUGAGACGGGAGGCUAAGCAACUCGGGGUGUACAGUCCUGGCAUCACCCUCCUGCCAGGGCCCUGGAAGCCGCCACUGGGCGCGAAAGAGCCCAGACCAUUUCAGACCAAUCUCCUGCGCUCUAACUAGGGGGAGUGGGCCUGAGGGCCUGUGACAGUCCUUCCAGCUCCUGAGCCACAGCAAACACGUCUUCCCUCACGUGCCUUUAGACUGUGUCUAGUUAUCCACCAGCACAAACAGUGACCUCAAAUUGUAGUGGCUAAAACAGCAGUCUGUUAUGACUCUGUCCCUUGGUUCUGUGGGUGAGAAAUGGAGACAGGCUACAGCUGGAAUGGCCCAUCUCUGCUCCAUGAUGUCAGGGUCUCCACUGGGAGAAGGUAAACUGAGCCGGCCUCUCUCUCUCUCUCUCUCUCUCUCUCUCUCUCUCUCGUCACCACCUUUCUCUGUGGGGAGCUUGGGCUUCCUCGCAGCAUGGCGGACUCAGGUUAGUCGAAUGGCUAAUGGGUGGACAUUGCAAGCCUCCUUAAGACAUAGCCUCUGAAGUCCCAGAACAUCCCUUCCAUCACAGCCUAUGGUUACGGAAUUCAGGAAGGCAGGCCUCUCAGACCACCUCCCAGAUGAACUGUCCGCCCCCAGUCCUGUCUCAGCGUCUGCUGCAGGGGCGCCUGAGCGAGGAGCAUGGUGGGGACUUCAGAGGCACGCAGAAAACGUCCAAUGCGUGUCAGCAGUUACUACUAUUGUUGCCUUCUGGAAAUGCAUUACCUUAUAAUAGAGUUAGUUUCCUCAUCCGGAUGCAGAUGAUCCCAUAGAAAUGUAACAACCUGAUCCCUGACCGACAUCAUGACCAAACCGUGCGGGCACCUGUUUCCUUCUCAGCCCUGCAAGAUCGGAGAAAGCUCGCUGCCCUCGUGUGAACCACCCAGUGAGGCCCGUCAAGAGGAGAUGAGCGUUAACAAUGGUCGGCUCUGGUGUAAAUCUGCCGGGUCAGCUCCACUGGACCAUAACGGACAGAAAUCCAGGCCCUUUUUGGGUUUUUCUGUGUACAGUUGUCCUAAACCUGAAAUAUAUGUGAUGCAUUCCACAUAUUGCUACUUUUUCUGCUGCAAUUAUGCCUCUGUGUUAUUAAACACAUACGCCA
rnacentral:lncRNA from 1 species